rnacentral:lncRNA from 1 species
UUCAGAUCCCACGUUGCUGUGGCGCUGGCAUAGGCUGGUGGCUACAGCUGCAAUUAAACCCCUAGCCUGGGAACCUGCAUAUGCUGCGGGAGCAGCUCAAGAAAAGGCAAAAAGACAAAAAAAAAAAAAAAAAAUCCCUCCAGAGAGUUCCUUCUGUUCCCUUCCAGUCAAUACUCACCACCCAGAAGUAGAUACUGUUUUCAUUUCUUCCACUCUCUCUCCCUGCAAGGUAUUCUCAUCACUAUUUGAACUUGUUUCUCAGAAGGUUGGCUCUGCCUAUUUUUGAUGUUCAUAUAAAGUGAAUCAUACUCUUUUUGGUGGUCCAUUUUCUUUCUUUCUUUCUUUCUUUUUUUUUUUUUUUUUGCUUUUUAGGGCCACAUCCAUGGCAUAUGGAGGUUCUCAGGCUAAGGAUUGAAUCAGAGCUACAGCUGCCAGCCACAGCCACAGCAGCGCCAGAUCUGAGCCGCAUCUGGGACCCACACCACAGCUCAUGGCCAGAUCCUUACCCCACGAAGUGAGGCCAGGGAUCGAACCUACAACCUCAUGGUUCCUAGUUGGAUUCGUUUCCGAUGCGCCAUGAGGGAGCUCCCGGGGGUACAGUUUCUUAACUCAAUGUCUGUGAGAUUCAUCUGUUUGUUUUUUUAAUUGCUAUGUAAUAUUCUCCAAAAUUAUUUUGAAGCAAAUUCCAGACAUCAAAUCAUUCCAUUCAUAAAUAUUUCAGUAUGUAACUCUAACAGGUAAGUAGUUUAAAAAGACCCUACAUUAUCACAUCUCAAAGAAAUUGGCACAGAUGUUCUGACAUACUUCUUACCCUCUGUCUGGAAGGGAUGUUAGGGGUUGUGGUUCAGGCUGGGUCAGGAACACAGGGGAUUGGGGGCUUGCCCAGGGCAGAGGGGCACAGAGUGGGAGGAAGCAUUUAUGAACUUUCAGGGGGAUGCUGGGGAAGAGAAGGCACAAAUAGUGACAGAGAGGAGAGGAUGACGUCAUCCUGUGGUUCAGGUUGGGUUGUGAACAGUGGGGCUUGGGGCUUGCUGAAUGUACAUGGAAUGAGUGAGUGACAACAUCAUUGACCUGGGAUGGCAAAAUGCCCUGUUUUCUACUCCUUCUGCCUUUUAUUCUUGGGCUUCCCGCCCCUGAACCAUAUACCUUAAGAAGCAUUUUUUUUUCUCCUGAUGUGUGUUUAUAAUGCUUGAAGAUUCAAGGAGCCUGCCUUUGGGCACACAGUAUUGCUCAGCCCCAAAUACUUUUCUUCUCUUUUGUUUAAACAUGGGUCUUAUUCAUAAACCCACCCCCUCUUUUUGUGGGGAUUUAAUUUUGACUAGAAGAGAUUGGUCCUAGUCCCAGAUUAUCGUGAAUCUGUCUGCAUACUGUCUACUCUUGUUCAUUAAAAAAACAUGCUUUCCAUCUUAAUUUUCUAUUCCAAAAAUGGUGUCUAUCAGCCCAAUCCAACAUGCAAAUCACUGACAGCACAUUUCAUGUGUUUGGUCUAUUUCCCUGUGCCUCUCUCUCUCUCUCCAGCCCUCCUGCUGUUUCCCUGCCUGUGUGUUCUUUUAUUCCGUUGAUAGCUUUCAUUUUGGUCUCCCCUUCGCAUCUGGCCCUUCAAGCUGGGCUGCGGUUCUGCACUGCGGCUGGGCCGUUCAGCGAUUGGACUCUCUCCAGCCCCCACCAAAUGCCGUCUCUUUCUGUAGCAGAAAGAUGAGCUUAGGAUGUCUUUCUUAUGGUGCCUCGAAUGAUAUAUUUUGCUUUAGGUGCAAAAGCCAUGCCAGCUUGAAAUGGCUUGAUUUUUGUUGUUAUUUGUGAUUAUAUAGAUGAAAAGACAAGAGUCCUCUUUUUGAGAAACAGCAAAACUAUCAACAUAUGUAAUUAUAUGUAAAAUAUAUAAUGGGGAAUAGAGGACAUGAGGUAUGUGGUAUAUAUGUAGAAAAAAAUUCAGUGUACAGCUGGGGCUGGGACAGCUGCAGAGAAUGAGGUGAGGUAAUAUGCAUCCCUACACCCCAAGAUAGGUAUUUGCAAAUUUCCUUUAACAAUAAAGGAUCUUUUUACAGACUGGUAUCAGUUGAGAUGGGCUAGGGUGUGCUGCAGUAACAAGCAGCCCACUGUAUUUCAGUGGUGUAAGGCAGUAAAGGUUUAUUUCUUACUCAGAUGCAUAUUCUUGGUGGGUUGUUUGGGACUCUGUUCUGCAUCACUGUUUUCAUGAUGGAACUCUGAGUGACACAGUAUCCCCCACCUGGAAUGUUGCUGAUCACUGUAUCAGAAGGAAAAGAAAGCAUAGCAAAGCUUGCAUAAGCUCUUAAAACUUCAUCCACCAAUAAUAUAUUCACUUCUGCUCUUAUUGGCCAAAGGAAUGAUUCCAACAGGACAGGGAUAUAAUCUUAUCAUUCAGAGAUUAAGUAAUUUAUUUAUCCUAGAGUGUAGAAUCUGGACUUAAGCCACAUCUUACGAUUCUAUAUCUAAUGCUUUCCCUCCUGCACCACAGCUGUCCCAAAUGAUCCUUGUUGUAGUAUUGUUUCAUUUACUUAUUCUUUCUAUAGUUUUUUGUUCUAUUGCUAAGGCUAAAAUAUUCCCUUGUUUGUAUUUCAUCAGUAUGGCCAGGUACCUCAUGUACAAAGAAUGUAUUCGUUUAGCAGGCCUGUUUAUACUCAUACAGAUGUGUAUUUUCAAUUUCUUCCUUUCCAGUUCAGAAAACUCUGUUGGUAAUGAAUUUUUCAUUAAAGCAGUGCAAGAUUGGAAAAUAAAAUAUGCUUCAACACAUUUUCUAAAAUAAUCAACACAAAUCCAAUGUGAGAAUCAAACAAUUAUUACCUUCAGAAUUAGCCCUGGAUUAUUAAAAUGCAAUUAUACUUGGAAAAGUGACUCAGCAGGAGGCCAUGUUUAUUUUUUUCCCCUCAUUUUCACAGUAAAUUUUCUCUGUGUAGCGGCCACUGCCUCCACACUCUCCUCCUAAUCUCUGAACAAUACUCAAGGAUAAAAUUGUUUCUUCCUCUGUUGAUUUCAAAGAUACCAAUCAGACAUGGUCUCAUAUGGCCUGCAGAUGUGUUUUAUGUGGUUCACAGUGUUUACAAUUAAAAAUAUUCAAUG